UAUCCAUGAAAACAAUUGAAGGCUCUGGAUGAAGUGCGGAAAAUCAAACCAAAAAGAACACUUUUCACUGGCAUGAUGCAUCUCAUGGAUCAUGAAGUAGUAAAUGAAAUGCUACUGAAACUAAAGGAAACGGAAGGCAUCGAUGUGCAACUUAGCUAUGAUGGGCUUCGAGUACCAGUGAGCCUGCAGGCUUUCAGGUCUGACUCGAGAAACCUGGCUAUUCUUUCUGAAUAAAUGAAGAUCAUUCAGAAUUUUGUAGUAGCUUAAUGUCUCUUGUGAAUGUAGUCUAAUGUUGUAGACUUAGUGUAGACUAGUUUAAUGUUUUGUGGAUGUUUGUAAAGGUUGAAGUAGUUUAAUGUUGUGUUGAUGGUUGCGAAGGUUGAAGUAGCUUAAUGUCUCUUGUGAAUGUUUGAAUGACGUUUUGAUUCAACUUUGAAGUAGUUUCGAAUUGAAUUUGAUGUAUUGGUGGUUUUUAAUA